UGCUCAUUUUUAUUUCUUUUUUGAAUUCAAGAACCAAGAGUUCGUUUACUGAACUGGACGCCUUUGCUGGUGAUUGUUGAGUGCAGUGCCAUCUACUGGCAAUUGGAAAUUUCUACACUAGUUAUGCUGGCAAUAGUAUUUUUUUUUUUGCCGUACGGUAACGAAAGAUUUACGUAAUGCAGCCAUGUUUUGAGACUUUGGCAGUGUUGGAAGGUUACUUUUGUAAUGUAAUAGGUUACAGAUUACUAGUUACUCUGUUAAAAUGUUACAGAGAUCAGAGAAUUACUGCACUUCCACUUCCACUGUAAGAUUUCACAGCUCUUUCAAAAUGUCAAAGUGUUUUUAUUUACACUUUACAUGCCAUCCCAACAGUUUUGGAAAUGGGAUUUGUAUUAAAAUCCUUGUAAAAUCAAUCGCUUAAUUAUAAUAAUUUAAAUUUCUAUUUACAGUGAUUUUUGUCCUCUAAAUACAAAUCGAAAGGGAGAUGCUGAUCCAUUUUAGUAACUGUAGAUCAAACAAUUCAGCUAUGUACUGUUGAUCAAAUAACUGUAAAUCUUUACCUUUGUUAAAUCUUUAAUGACAAAUUAUUUUCUCUUCAAUAUCAGAAGCUCCACGGCACCACUACAAGGAAGUGACCCAUCGUAUCUUCAGUGAUGCUGUGACGAAAUGUCUUCCAUAUGCACCAGAACCUCGGGGAGGUGCAAAGAGAAAAUGAACAGAAGUGGGUGUGGGCAGGAUGGGAGGGUCAUUUAGCACUUCAAUGUUUUUGUGAUUGUUAUAAAAUUACUACCAAAUUGCCACCAUUGUGCUAUUUUUCUGUGAAUGUAUAUAUAAUGUGUUAUGAAUAAUAAAUUGUUUUCAAUUUA